ACACGGACCAAGGAGUGCAACAUGUGCGCGAGCCGCCUGGCAAGUAAACCAGAAGGCGCAAUGAAAGUGAAGGCACGGCCGCCGUGCUGAGGUGAGAGCUGCCCCCGGGCGGCACAUCAUCGACCGAUCCUAUCCGCUCCCUCGUGGUGCGGCGGGAUUCGAGUAAGAGUGCAUCUGUUGCGACCCGAAAGAUGGUGAACUAUGCCUGAAUAGGGUGAAGCCAGAGGAAACUCUGGUGGAGGCCCGUAGCGAUUCUGACGUGCAAAUCGAUCGUCAAAUUUGGGUAUAGGGGCGAAAGACUAAUCGAACCAUCUAGUAGCUGGUUCCCUCCGAAGUUUCCCUCAGGAUAGCUGUAGCCCGAAGCAGUUUUAUCAGGUAAAGCGAAUGAUUAGAGGUAUCGGGGAAGAAACUUCCUCGACCUAUUCUCAAACUUUAAAUAGGUAAGAAGUCCGACUUGCUCAAUUUGAAGCCGGACACAGAAUGCUGGGUUACUAGUGGGCCAUUUUUGGUAAGCAGAACUGGCGAUGCGGGAUGAACCGAACGCCGAGUUAAGGUGCCAAAGUCGACGCUCAUCAGAUCCCACAAAAGGUGUUGGUUGAUAUAGACAGCAGGACGGUGGCCAUGGAAGUCGGAAUCCGCUAAGGAGUGUGUAACAACU
rnacentral:rRNA from 1 species